rnacentral:lncRNA from 1 species
GUAUUUUUAGUAGAGAUGGGGUUUUGCUAUGUUGGCCAGGCUGGUCUCAAACUCCUGACCUCAGGUGAAUCACCUGAGGUCAGGAGUUCAAGACCAGCCUGGCCAACAUAGUGAAACCCCGUCUCUACUAAAAACACAAAAAUUAGCCAGGCUUGGUGGCUGGCGCCUGUAAUUCCAGCUACUCAGAAGGCUGAGGCAGGGAGAAUUGCUUGAACCCAGGAGUGGAGGUUGCAGUGAGCUGAGAUCAUGCCACUGCACUCCAGCCUGGGCGACAGAGCGAGACUCCACCUCAAAAAAUAAAAUCAAGAUAACCUCUUGAAUGUAAUAGCUCAUAGCACUUUAAUUUGGCAAGCCAUUUUUCCUGUUUUAUUAUAAAUCUAUAUUAGAUGUUUGAAUAUGGUUUGAAAUAUUUCACUACCGUGCUGAAAAAGGUUGGUUGAUAGCAGCUUGGAGUGCUAACUGGAAGAUCAAAAUCAUGUCUCUUGCUGAUAACCUAAGAGCAUUAAGCUCUGAGUCCAGUGAGGUCAUAGCAGUGUAUGCUCCUUGCCCUUACGGAGUGUCUGUUUUUAGAAAUUUAGAUUUUAAAAGGCGUGGGACAUACGACCAGGCCCUAUAGCCACAUAAAUAUAAAUUUCAUAGAAAAAGAAUAAAAGCGGAGAUAUAUUUUUUGACACAGAGGCACCCAAAGAAAUACAAACAUUGCCUAGCUGCUGCCAUUUCUGUAACUGCCCAGAAGGGUGACAGAUUUCUGAAGGGGAAAGGAUUCAGAUAUGACCUUUUCUUUAGUCCCAACCACUAGUUUUAACAAAUGUGAAUUAUUGAAAUGUGAAGGGACAAAAAGAAUCAUACAUUUAAACUGUCUUGUUCAGCAUACCAAUAUUGUAUGUUACAAAUCAUCAUUUCUAAAUCUGGAUUGAUUCUGUUGUGUUUUUGACUGUUUCUAAAGUAAGUGUGUAUAAAAGUCUCCUUUUUAAAAAGAUCAUAUUUUUAAAUAAAGCAUUUUUUGUAGAAAGUGC